rnacentral:rRNA from 1 species
AUACGGAGGAUGCAAGCGUUAUCCGGAUUUAUUGGGUUUAAAGGGUGCGUAGGCGGAUGAUUAAGCGUGAGGUGAAAUGCCACUGCUCAACAGUGGAACUGCCUCGCGAACUGGUUGUCUUGAAUGCUCCUGCCGUGGGAGGAAUGUGUGGUGUAGCGGUGAAAUGCAUAGAGAUCACACAGAACACCGAUUGCGAAGGCAUCUCACGAAGGGGUGAUUGACGCUGAGGCACGAAAGCGUGGGGAUCAAACAGGAUUAGAUACCCUGGUAGUCCACGCAGUAAACGAUGAUAACUAACCGCUGGGUCGUAGUGAUUCAGUGGCCAAGCGAAAGCGAUAAGUAUUCCACCUGGGGAGUACGAUCGCAAGAUUGAAACUUAAAGGAAUUGACGGGG